rnacentral:lncRNA from 1 species
GCACUUUCCAACUCCACCUUUCUGUCACCUAGCGAAGAUGCUAUUCCCUCCCCCUCCUUAUUUUUCUGAUUUAAUCCAUUAAAAAAUCCAUAUCUCCUGUCAAGAAUUUGGGCAGUGGGCAUCACAGAUUCACCGAAAUACUAGGGUUCACUUACGAGGUUGAGAGCUUGCAUUGAAGGUCCGGCGUUCUGCAGCUUCUGCUUGAGGCUUGCUUUGAGGAGCACCAGCAAAUUAGAAAUGGGUUGUGAUUCUCUCAUGAUUCCAAGACAAUUGUAUAUUUGUAGCACAAAGUGGUGAAAAUUGAAGAGAAAUUUGGAAUUGUUGUGAUGAAAAUUGAAGAGAAGAAGAGGAGAUAUUCGGCUGAAGACUGAAGAUAGAGAGAAACUUGGAAAGUGGAAAACUGAAUGUCGAUAAAAUUUCUUUAGGGUUAAUGAUUUAAGGAAAUUAUAAAAUUGCCCCUAUAUUUUUUAAUAUUUAUAUAAUAUACCUCAGUUCGGGUACCUGCGGAUUUUUAUUUUUAUGACCCGUAUCUAUAUCCGAAUUUUACAGGUACCCGACCCUUCUCCGCUAAUAGAAAUCGGAUCAGUUAUCUUAAUUUUCGGUGCGAG